rnacentral:rRNA from 1 species
GAGUAACACGUGAGUAACCUCGCCCCUCACUUCGUGGACUAACCGCUUGGAAGGGUGGCUAAGUACGGGGUGUUCGUGGCCUGCUCGCAGUGGGUGGGUUUGGAAAGAUUCGUACGGUUUGGUUGUUUUGGUGGGGGAUGGGCUCGCGGCCUAUCAGCUUGUUGGUGGGGUGAUGGCCUGCCAAGGCUUUGACGGGUAGCCGGCCUGAGAGGGUGGGCGGUCACACUGGGACUGAGACACGGCCCAGACUCCUACGGGAGGCAGCAGUGGGGAAUAUUGCACAAUGGGCGCAAGCCUGAUGCAGCGACGCCGCGUGAGGGAUGGAGGCCUUCGGGUUGUGAACCUCUUUCGCCAGUGAAGAAGGUCCUGCUCUUUGUGGUGGGGUUGACGGUAGCUGGGUUAAUGAAGCGCCGGCUAACUACGUG